UGCGCCGCAUCCGCCGCCGCCGUGCGCCGCCCCUCCGAGCCGUCGACCGCGCCGCCGCCGCCGCCGCGGACGACGGAUCCACAGCCGGAUGCAUCGCCAUCUUCCAAUCCUAGACGCCGCACACCUAUCACCACAAAGGUGCCGGUCGGGCAGGGAUGCGGCGGCCGGACGGAGCGAGUCGCCGAGCUAGGGUUCGAGGGCACGCGCGUCCUCGGCGAGCCCGUCCAUCUCCGACAUGGCUGGUGCGGCAGCUGUAAUCGCCCGCGGAGGACGAGGCGGAUACAGCAUAUGGAGCCCGAUUUCUGGCCCCUGCCCUGCGGCUGCCCUCUCCUCCCCUUGUUGGCCAAUCGUGCGAUCCCUGAUGGAGGAGAAGGCUCUGGCUUCCAUAACCUCCAUGGAAAGAGAUCGACGGCGGCUCUGGUGGACGCGGCCCCAUCACCGAGUGGAUGAGGCAGCGGCGUCGCCACCCCUCUCGAUGGUCUGCCCUCCUCCUCCCUAGCAGCCUUCAGAGAUCAUGUCUUGCCGAUUAAGAUGGAGAUGGAUCAACAACCUCCUGUGGCGGCGCAACAUGUGCAAGUAUGUCAUUGGGGUCGCACAUCGGAUGCCUGCUGCUGCGUUGCCUGAUGUUUUGCUGUAGAAUUUCCACUAAGGGUAUCAGGAUGAGCCUACCAUGGAGAAAGCUCACGGGUCCAUGGAUCAUCAUCAAACUUGGAAGAGGUGAAUGGUCUGCCUGGUGGUAAGGCCAAGAAAAAGGUUGUUUAUAUAUCUUACCAUUAGGAUCAUCAGGGUUGAGCAUUACUGAGAUUGGUAGCGGAAGAAAUCAUGUUCAGGAGAAAGCAUGCCUCUCAUUUCAACCUAAAAGGUUGUUCUCUGAAUCCUGAUCAAGUAACCACAUACACGCUAACUGCCUUUUAGCCUGAUGUUUCUGUUGAAGCGGAAACCGGCAAAAUGUACAGGGCAAAUUUUCGAGAUAAAGAGGGGAGGGCCGUUGUUAUUAUGAUUUAUGAGACCUACAAAGGA